UGGGGAAUAUUGGACAAUGGGCGCAAGCCUGAUCCAGCCAUGCCGCGUGAGUGAUGAAGGCCCUAGGGUUGUAAAGCUCUUUCACCGGUGAAGAUAAUGACGGUAACCGGAGAAGAAGCCCCGGCUAACUUCGUGCCAGCAGCCGCGGUAAUACGAAGGGGGCUAGCGUUGUUCGGAUUUACUGGGCGUAAAGCGCACGUAGGCGGACUUUUAAGUCAGGGGUGAAAUCCCGGGGCUCAACCCCGGAACUGCCUUUGAUACUGGAAGUCUUGAGUAUGGUAGAGGUAAGUGGAAUUCCGAGUAUAGAGGUGAAAUUCGUAGAUAUUCGGAGGAACACCAGUUGCGAAGGCGGCUCACUGGACCAUUACUGACGCUGAGGUGCGAAAGCGUGGGGAGCAAACAGG
rnacentral:rRNA from 1 species